GACGAACGCUGGCGGCGUGCUUAACACAUGCAAGUCGAACGAUGAAACCUAGCUUGCUAGGUCGAUUAGUGGCGAACGGGUGAGUAACACGUGACUAACCUGCCCCUUUCUCUGGGAUAACGCUCCGAAAGGAAUGCUAAUACCGGAUACUCACACCUAGGCACAUGCCUUUGUGUGGAAAGUUUUUCGGAAAGGGAUGGAGUCGCGGCCUAUCAGCUUGUUGGUGAGGUAACGGCUCACCAAGGCGACGACGGGUAGCCGGCCUGAGAGGGCGACCGGCCACACUGGGACUGAGACACGGCCCAGACUCCUACGGGAGGCAGCAGUGGGGAAUAUUGCACAAUGGGCGCAAGCCUGAUGCAGCGACGCCGCGUGAGGGAUGAAGGUCUUCGGAUUGUAAACCUCUUUCAGUAGGGACGAAGCGAAAGUGACGGUACCUAAAGAAGAAGCACCGGCUAACUACGUGCCAGCAGCCGCAGUAA
rnacentral:rRNA from 1 species